rnacentral:rRNA from 1 species
UUUCCAGAGGAAGGUUCGUCCGCUCUGGGUAAGUCGGGACCUAAGGCGAGGCCGAGAGGCGUAGUCGAUGGACAACAGGUAGAGAUUCCUGUACUUACGGUAUGAAUGAAGGAGUGACGGAGAAGGCUAGCGGAUCCUGCUGCUGGAAUAGCAGGUGCAAGCGAAGUAGCCGACAGCCAGGCAAAUCCGGCUGUCAGAGGCAAAGGCGUGAAGCGGAUGGAAAGCUGAGGCAAGUACAGAAGUCCGUGAAGCAGGCUUCCAAGAAAAGCUUCUAGUGUUAAUCAUACAGUAACCCGUACCGAAAAUGGACACACAUGGGUGAGGAGAGAAUCCUAAGGUGAGCGAGAGAACUAUAGCUAAGGAACUCUGCAAAAUGACUCCGUAACUUAGGGAGAAGGAGUGCUCAUAGAGAUAUGAGCCGCAGUGAAACGGCCCAAGCGACUGUUUACCAAAAACACAGCUCUCUGCUAAGCCGCAAGGCGAAGUAUAGGGGGUGACGCCUGCCCGGUGCUGGAAGGUUAAGGGGAGGGGUUAACGCAAGUGAAGCCCUGAACUGAAGCCCCAGUAAACGGCGGCCGUAACUAUAACGGUCCUAAGGUAGCGAAAUUCCUUGUCAGGUAAGUUCUGACCCGCACGAAAGGCGUAACGAUUUGGGCGCUGUCUCAGCUGUAGACUCGGUGAAGUCUUAGUACCUGUGAAGAUGCAGGUUACCCGCGACUAGACGGAAAGACCCCAUGGAGCUUCACUGCAGGUUGAUAUUGGGAUUUGAUGCAGCAUGUACAGGAUAGGUAGGAGGCAAAGAGAUGGAUACGCCAGUAUUCAAGGAGCCGCUGUUGGGAUACUACCCCUGUUGUAUUGGAUUUCUAACCGGACGACGUAGAGCCGUUGACGGGACAGUGUCAGUCGGGCAGUUUGACUGGGGCGGUCGCCUCCCAAAGAGUAACGGAGGCGCCCAAAGAUACCCUCAGCUUGGAUGGAAACCAAGCGCAGAGUGCAAAGGCAAAAGGGUGUUUGACUGCGAGACCCACAAGUCGAGCAGGGACGAAAGUCGGGCUUAGUGAUCCGGCGGUGCUGAAUGGAAAGGCCGUCGCUCAACGGAUAAAAGCUACCCUGGGGAUAACAGGCUGAUCUCCCCCAA